GGCUGUGAUGGUGUAAUUUGCGUCUGACUCUGUGCCGGCGACAGAAUGCCUCCUGUCACAAACCGCCACAGACGACUGACGAACCUAAACUCUGAGCU